GAUUAUGGCUCAGGACGAACGCUGGCGGCGUGCUUAACACAUGCAAGUCGAACGAGGAUAUGCCAGAGGAGAGCUUCGGCAGGAAUCAGGUAUAUUCGAGUGGCGGACGGGUGAGUAACGCGUGAGCAACCUGUCCCAGACAGGGGGAUAACACUUGGAAACAGGUGCUAAUACCGCAUAAGACCACGGUAUCACAUGGUAGUGGGGUAAAAGGAGCAAUCCGGUUUGGGGUGGGCUCGCGUCCGAUUAGAUAGUUGGUGAGGUAACGGCCCACCAAGUCGACGAUCGGUAGCCGACCUGAGAGGGUGAUCGGCCACAUUGGAACUGAGAGACGGUCCAAACUCCUACGGGAGGCAGCAGUGGGGAAUAUUGGGCAAUGGGCGAAAGCCUGAACCCCAGCAACGCCGCGUGAGUGAAGAAGGCCUUCGGGUUGUAAAGCUCUGUUAUAGUUGACGAAGGAAGUGACGGUAGGCUAUAAGGAAGCCCCGGCUAACUACGUGCCAGCAGCAGC
rnacentral:rRNA from 1 species